rnacentral:tRNA from 1 species
GGGAAUGUAGCUUAGUGGUAGAGUGCUUGCCUCGCAUGCACGAAGCCCUGGGUUCAAUUCCUCAGUACCA